rnacentral:rRNA from 1 species
GAGGAAGCGUUGAAUUGAAGCCCGAGUAAACGGCGGCCGUAACUAUAACGGUCCUAAGGUAGCGAAAUUCCUUGUCGGUUAAAUACCGACCUGCAUGAAUGGCGUAACGAGAUGGGAGCUGUCUCAACCAGAGAUUCAGUGAAAUUGUAGUGGAGGUGAAAAUUCCUCCUACCCGCGGCAAGACGGAAAGACCCCGUGGACCUUUACUACAACUUAGCACUGCUAAUGGGAAUAUCAUGCGCAGGAUAGGUGGGAGGCUUUGAAGUAAGGGCUUUGGCUCUUAUGGAGA